ACAAUUUUUGUUUUGACAAGUAAAAUUACUUGAAAAAGCUGUUCUUUGUGUCAAGAAGGCCACACGCCAGUUCAUCAUGACCGUUACAUUUUGAGGUUAUAAAGUUCAAUUGCAACACAUAGACUAAGGUUUACAUGGUGAAGCGAUGGUGAAAAACAAAAGAUGAAUCUGGCUACAAGAG
rnacentral:sRNA from 12 species